ensembl:lncRNA
GUGAUAUGAAGAGACACAGAGGAGACUGUUGGCAAAGAAAUUGUUAAAGUCGUUAUUUUUGUUUUCUUCGCUUACAAAAAGUGUUCCUGUCGCUUCAUAUAACCCAGAUUGCACGUCUGAUGACAGAUGGAGUAUUCUGACAACGACUUUCUUACCUUUUAUGGACCUUAACACUGUUAUAUACUUGACAGUCUAUGGGACAGUCACAGGCCUCCCGAUUUUCAUCCAAAAUAUAAAUUUUCAGUUUAGGGUAGAGUAUCCCUUUAAGGUUUACCUUCAUUCAAAAACUCUUGAGUUAUUGGGCUGCAAUUACUUUGUUUCGGACACAGCCAAUCUGUCAUUCUCUUUCUGUGUCAAACAGCACUAUGAUUCUCACUCCCAGGUUUCUUGUUCUCAGAAAGGGGCACAGGAAGUGACAUGAGGAUAAUGCUCUCUGCUACCCGCCUCAUGCAACGUUCCUCCUUACAGAUGCACAUUUCUCUCUCUCUCUCUCUCUCCAACUCUGCAAGAGCACUUGAACUCUGUCACUCCUGCCAAAAUUGCACAACCUUCCAAGGAGUCAGGUAGAGGUACUUUGGGAGCCAUCAUUGGAAGAUCCUUCAGGAAUAUCAGUGUGUCUGUUGGGCGAGUGGUGUAUGAAACCAGCAAAGACACACUCUUUGAGACGGUAGACCAAUAUCUGAGUGUGGCUGGAAGACUUAUCACGUGUUCUCAUUCAGGGUGGCAUGGGAGGGAGUUUUUAUUUGUUGAUUUGUUUAUUUGUACGAAAUGUAACUGACACACAAUGUACAGUCCUUUUCCCCCAAUGCUGCAGGGUUACAUUUGAUCCAUGUUCAAAUGUGUCAAGCUGUGUGAUUCAGCCAAAUUUCUUACCUUUGCCUUUCUUACAUUACUGAUGCUGAUGUUUGUAUUCAAAUUCUAUGCGAGAAAAAAAAAGAAGUGCUAAACUCAAGUAUUUUUAAAACAUGGAGAGCAAAAGAUAGGCGAACAUUUCAGGUAUACAGUAUUAGAAGAUUUUUAUGAGAAAUUAUGGUUAGAAUGUUGUCAUAACCCUUAACCUUAACCCCCAUCCCAAUAGCAUGAGCCUCUGAAAAGAUCUUUCUGCUUUCCGACUAAGGCAAAUUAAUCCUGUUAUCGACAAGGGAUUUUACAAACUGACAAUGGGAGAGAUUGUCAAGCAAUUAAAAGUUGGUAAAUUCAGACGUCCAGUGUCUUUUUUUAAAGUGUCAGUUUUUUUGUAGUUGAAAGUAUGUGUAUGUUCAGAAUUGCUUUUCAAGGAUCCAGA